rnacentral:rRNA from 1 species
AUUGAACGCUGGCGGCAUGCCUUACACGUGCAAGUCGAACGGUAACGCGGGGCAACCUGGCGACGAGUGGCGAACGGGUGAGUAAUGCAUCGGAACGUGCCCAGUAGUGGGGGAUAGCCCGGCGAAAGCCGGAUUAAUACCGCAUACGACCUAAGGGUGAAAGCGGGGGAUCGUAAGACCUCGCGCUAUUGGAGCGGCCGAUGUCAGAUUAGGUAGUUGGUGGGGUAAAGGCCUACCAAGCCUUCGAUCUGUAGCUGGUCUGAGAGGACGACCAGCCACACUGGGACUGAGACACGGCCCAGACUCCUACGGGAGGCAGCAGUGGGGAAUUUUGGACAAUGGGCGCAAGCCUGAUCCAGCCAUGCCGCGUGCGGGAAGAAGGCCUUCGGGUUGUAAACCGCUUUUGUCAGGGAAGAAACGCUCUGGGCUAAUACCUCGGGGUAAUGACGGUACCUGAAGAAUAAGCACCGGCUAACUACGUGCCAGCCGCCGCCGUAAAAC